UACGGAGGGUGCGAGCGUUAAUCGGAAUUACUGGGCGUAAAGAGUGCGUAGGUGGUUUUGUAAGUUAUCUGUAAAAGCCCUGGGCUCAACCUGGGAAGGCCAGAUAAAACUGCGGGACUCGAGUAUAGGAGAGGGUAGUGGAAUUUCCGGUGUAGCGGUGAAAUGCGUAGAGAUCGGAAGGAACACCAGUGGCGAAGGCGGCUACCUGGCCUGAUACUGACACUGAGGCACGAAAGCGUGGGGAGCAAACAGG
rnacentral:rRNA from 1 species